CCGGUGCCAUAUAAUUAAGUACAGGUUAUACUUCAAGCUUUCUCGAUCUGUUUGCAGGCGAAUAGGUUGACUCGAUGAGUAUUUGAUUUGGCCGAUGACCCAUGUUCAAGGAUCACUUAUGUUUCAGACUAUACAAAGAUUGCCUUUUGGUUAUCACAAGGUCUCAAUGCACCUAAUGACAGCAACCAACAUUGAGUCAUCACAUUCUUUCCGUUUACAUCUCAGGUAGGUUGGGUAUUGAGACCAAGAAAUUCAGCGCCA